rfam:Rattus norvegicus chromosome 8, whole genome shotgun sequence.
GGGCAUAGGGCGAUCUGCGAUGUCUGUCACUCCAUUGAGGCUGGUCUGGCUGAUUGGGCAGGGACCCCUCUCCUCCCUCAGUACUCUAGGUGCAUGUCUCCCAAAGGCUUGGUUAAAGAUGGCUUUCCCUGAAGGGAGAACGGGUUCUCCUGUCAAAGGUAUAUGAGCAUUUCUGCUCCUCUGCUAGAACUUUCCAAGACAUUCAGGGAUGGUACUGGAGCUGGAGCUGGAGCUGGAGAGAUGGCUCAGCAGGUGCCAAGCUGACUACCUGAGUUC